rnacentral:rRNA from 1 species
AUUGAACGCUGGCGGCAGGCCUAACACAUGCAAGUCGAGCGGAGCGGCGGACGGGAGAGUAAUGCCUAGGAAUCUGCCUGGUGGUGGGGGAUAACGUCCGGAAACGGGCGCUAAUACCGCAUACUAUCAGAUGAGCCGAGGUCGGAUUAGCUAGUUGGUGGGGUAAAGGCCUACCAAGGCGACGAUCCUUAACUGGUCUGAGAGGAUGAUCAGUCACACUGGAACUGAGACACGGUCCAUACUCCUCCGGGAGGCACCAGUGGGGAUUAUUCGACAUUGGGCGAAAGCCUAAUCCAGCCAUGCCGCGUGUGUGAAGAAGGUCUUCGGUUUUUAAACCACUUUAAGUUGGGAGGCGUUACCAACAGAAUAAGCCCCGGCUAACUUCGUGCCAGCAGCCGCGGUAAUUC